GACGAACGCUGGCGGCGUGCUUAACACAUGCAAGUCGAACGAGAGCGUAGAGAAAGCUUGCUUUUUCUACAAUCUAGUGGCAAACGGGUGAGUAACGCGUAAACAACCUGCCCUACGGAUGGGGACAACAGCUGGAAACGGCUGCUAAUACCGAAUACGUUCCGAAAGUCGCAUGACUAUCGGAAGAAAGGAUGGCCUCUAUUUAUAAGCUAUCGCCGGAGGAGGGGUUUGCGUCUGAUUAGCUAGUUGGAGGGGUAACGGCCCACCAAGGCGACGAUCAGUAGCCGGUCUGAGAGGAUGAACGGCCACAUUGGGACUGCGACCCGGUCCAGACUCCUACGGGAGGCAGCAGUGGGGAAUCUUCCGCAAUGGGCGAAAGCCUGACGGAGCAACGCCGCGUGAGUGAAGACGGCCUUCGGGUUGUAAAGCUCUGUUAUACGGGACGAAUAAUCUUGUGGUUAAUACCCAUGAGAAGUGACGGUACCGUAAGAGAAAGCCACGGCUAACUACGUG
rnacentral:rRNA from 1 species